GUGCCAGCCGCCGCGGUAAUACGUAGGUGGCGAGCGUUGUCCGGAAUCACUGGGCGUAAAGGGCGCGUAGGCGGCUAUUCAAGUCGCAUGUGAAAUUCCAGGGCUUAACCUUGGGGGGUCAUGCGAAACUGAGUGGCUUGAGUGCAGUAGAGGAAAGCGGAAUUCCUGGUGUAGCGGUAAAAUGCGUAGAGAUCAGGAGGAACACCGGUGGCGAAGGCGGCUUUCUGGGCUGCAACUGACGCUGAGGCGCGAAAGCGUGGGGAGCAAACAGGAUUAGAUACCCCCGUAGUCC
rnacentral:rRNA from 1 species